GAUGAACGCUGGCGGCGUGCUUAACACAUGCAAGUCGAACGGGAAACCUUUUAUUGAAGCUUCGGCAGAUUUAGCUGGUUUCUAGUGGCGGACGGGUGAGUAACGCGUGGGUAACCUGCCUUAUACAGGGGGAUAACAGUCAGAAAUGGCUGCUAAUACCGCAUAAGCGCACAGAGCUGCAUGGCUCAGUUUGAAAAACUCCGGUGGUAUAAGAUGGACCCGCGUUGGAUUAGCUGGUUGGUGGGGUAACGGCCCACCAAGGCGACGAUCCAUAGCCGGCAUGAGAGGGUGAACGGCCACAUUGGGACUGAGACACGGCCCAGACUCCUACGGGAGGCAGCAGUGGGGAAUAUUGCACAAUGGGGGAAACCCUGAUGCAGCGACGCCGCGUGAAGGAAGAAGUAUCUCGGUAUGUAAACUUCUAUCAGCAGGGAAGAUAAUGACGGUACCUGACUAAGAAGCCCCGGCUAACUACGUG
rnacentral:rRNA from 1 species